rnacentral:lncRNA from 1 species
UAGAUUUUAAUUUAUUAUAUUUUUUUAUUUUAAUUCUUAAAAUUAUUAUAAUCAAAUUCUACAAUCUAAUUUAAUUGCUUAAAUAUUGAUAAAUUAUUAGUGUGGAAGUAAUAUUAAAGUUUUCUUAUUAAUGAUGCGAUAAUAAUUAAAAUGCUAUAUUAUUUUUAUAUUAGUAAUUUGUCAAUAUUUAAUUAACUAAGUUGGAAUAUAGAAUUUGAUUGCAAUAAUUAGAAAAUUAGAGUCAGAAAUUAUAAUAAAAUUAAAAUUUAAG